CCUACGGGCGGCAGCAGUGAGGAAUAUUGGUCAAUGGGCGCGAGCCUGAACCAGCCAAGUCGCGUGAGGGAAGAAGGUCCUAUGGAUUGUAAACCGCUUUUGUCGGGGAGCAAAAGACGCCACGCGUGGCGUUCCGAGAGUACCCGAAGAAAAAGCAUCGGCUAACUCCGUGCCAGCAGCCGCGGUAAUACGGAGGAUCCGAGCGUUAUCCGGAUUUAUUGGGGUUAAAGGGUGCGUGGGCGGAAGAUCAAGCCGGCGUGAAAAUUGGGGGGCUAAACCUCGUCGUGCCGUUGAAACUGGUUGGCUUGAGUGCGUGAGAGGUAUGCGGAAUGCGUGGUGUAGCGGUGAAAUGCAUAGAUAUCACGCAGAACUCCGAUUGCGAAGGCAGCAUACCGGAGCGCAACUGACGCUCAUGCACGAAAGUGUGGGUAUCGAACAGGAUUAGAUACCCGGGUAGUC
rnacentral:rRNA from 1 species